rfam:Cucumis sativus cultivar 9930 chromosome 5, whole genome shotgun sequence.
GUUGCCGGUUCGAGGACAUCCGAUUAAAUUGGAAUGAUACAAAGAAGAUUAUCAUGAUCCUUAUGCAAGGAUGACAAACACAAAUCAAGAAAUGGUCAAAAAAUGG